UGAACCUGAAAAUUGAGACUAAAACCUCACGAAAAAAAUCCAUUAGCAAAAAACCUUUCCUCUCCCUUGUAAAAAGUUCCUCAAUUCAAUGUAGUUUGGGGUGAGGUCCGGCCAUUUGGCCGUCGACCUUCCCUUUGCCUCCAUUUCGUUAGAUCAUUGUUUUGUAAGUUUUUUAUCUAGUUUUCGUUGUCCUAGUUUCCUUUAGUCUCCCUUUGGAGUCUCAGUGUCUCUCUAAUAGAUGGAAUUUUUGUGUGUUUGUUUUGAGAUGCAUGCUGUAGUCGGCUCUCUUGAUAUGAGUGGUGAAACUUUUUGGAGUAAGAUUGGCAGGCAGCUUAAACGGUGUAUACCGUUUUUAGUCAUUGUUGCCUAGCCCGUUCCCGGUUCUUCCGGCAAUAGCCAAGUUCUUGACUUUCUGUCCUUGAUGCAUCUACCCCGCUUUCUUCAUCUGGGCUUUAAGUGUGAGUAGGAAAGUGUGUUUCUUUCUGCAUGUUAGUUUCUCCAAUUUGCCUGGCUGCUUUCUCCUUUGAUGGCAACUGAUGUAUUGCUGGUGGAAGAGGCUAUGGUGGCUGUAGUUGAAUAUGGCAGAAGGUCCCUAAUGAAAAAGGGCUAUGGGUCAACCCGAUUCGUCUAGGGCUCCAAGUUUCCUUUGAUUUUGGGUCUUUUUCUGAGUUUGGGUUGAUUUGAUGUAAUUUUUAUUUUAUGGACUUGGCCUGGUAAUCCUUAUUUCAGUAAUGAAUUAUAUUUUUC
rnacentral:misc_RNA from 1 species